UUUUGACAAGGAGGAAAGUUAUUCUAAAAUUAUUCAAGAUUUGACAAUUACAAAUGCCAAAUUUAUUGCUUGUUGACUUCUAAAAAACAACUUAGCAAUGUUGAAAUAUUCUCUAUCAUAUAAUUAUACGAUAUUGUUAUAUAAUGUAGUUACAAGUAUAGUAAUGAUAAUAAGAUCAUUGCGAGAACUGCGAGGUAGCAGAUUUUCUCGUUUAUCCAUAACUUUACAAUUAAAAUACAUCUUGCCGAAACUGGAAAAAUUUUCUGCGUACUUUCGAACGGUAGUGCAAGGUGUAAGUUGUAUAAGUACUCGAACAGAAAGAAACUCGGAAGACAUAUCUAAACGAUGAGAAAGAGAUUUAUGACGGGUCUAGGUGCCAGUCGAUUAUUAGGCCAAACCAGUAUCGUGCCAAAUCCGCUGAAUAAAUAUAGAAGCCACGGGAUAAAUGUCGCGUGUCGUACAAGAUAUAUAUGUUUUGAAUUUCGAGAAUCACGUUUCUAAGGAUAUAUACACGCUCAUUUUUACCAUUUACAAUUAUAUUGCUGAAAGGGCGGUUAAAUCUAACUGUCACCGCACGUCGAGCAGCAAACAAGUUGUAUUACCGUAAUCUCAUCACUGGGACGCAGAUUAUAUCCGCGUUUCUGUUAAUUCCACGUUAAAUAAUUUUCGUUGAACACGCAGACUUCCAGGAUCUAAUCUUCUCUGUGCAGCGUGUUUCGUCAUGUUCGCUUGUCUUCCUUGUUUCUUCGAUAACGCGCAACGAUCGAGCCCCUCAACAAUCUCAAAAUCCAAUCUGAUUAAACUGGGGUUAACUUCGUUCUCUCUUAAUUUCUUAAUUUCAUCGCAUUAAAUACGCUUACUGUUUACAUAAAUGCAUCCGGCUUGAUUCGCAAAUUCGAAGAAGCGGGUCGUCGUGUCAAUGGAUCUUUCACCGCGCAUCAUCGAACGAAUCUGUUCUUCUUCGUCCCUUUCUCUUCCUUCCUUCUUAUCGAAUCCCGAGGUUCUUUCAUAAUUUUGCCUUUACUAGGUAUUACACGAGUGUCACGCGUUGAGGCUAACUUAUGUGAUACUUGACACACUGCUACCAGCGAUAACGAGCCACCUGGAACGAGACUAACGAGCAUCUCACAUUUCGUAUGAUGUAUUCUGCCGUUACUGACAUAGUACGCGAUACAUCCACGCUAGAGAUGAGUCAUUACACACCUUGUGUAUUGUCCACCCUCGCCAUGGGGGCUUCCUUCCGUGAAGAAAUCGUCGAACCGCCUCCAAUUAUUGAACUUCGAUUAGAUCUCGAUUGUUCGUCCCGGACACGUCUGGUGUAACGUGUAAACCGGUUGUGAUAAUGAGUCAAGAGAAUUGCGUCAUAAAUCGUAAUUGAUUUUGUAGUUGCUGAUAUUCUAGACUGGACGUAUUGUCGCUAAUACUACAUUGUCGAAAAGCAUUUUAUUGCAAAAAAAUUAAAUGGUAUAUUGACCGUAUAUCGCUUAUCGUUAUCGGCCAGCGUGAAACAUGUUGUUAGGAUAUCUGUUGAUAGUUGGAGAAAAAUUAAAAUAAAACAGUUUUCUAAAAUAUUUACAGUUUACUUUACUAUGCGGAGGAUUAGAAUCUCUACGUCUCUCUUAUUUUAAUCUAAACUAUAAGUAUAUAUAUAAAUAUAAAUUUUUAGAAUAUUUUAUAUGGAUCGUGGAUGUUUGUAUAUUCAUAGAAAAUUGGAAUUUCCUGAAAUCGAUAGAAUAUAUAAUACCUACUUAGUAUAAUUUUUAGUAGAAUUUUUUGCUUAGAUAUCAUGUUUUGAGUUAUUCAUAAAAAUAUUAUUCAUAAAAUUUAUGUAUGUACUUUCGACCAGUUUUUAAUGAUAAUGAUCCAAUAUAAAUCACGGGCGCUUUGAAAAGUAAAGGUGUCAUACGUAAAUAUUCCAAGGAUCAUGGAGAAAUUAACGUACACGCGUACAGAUCAACGUAACACAGAGAAAAAUACAACAUCGAUAUUAACCUGAAGUUAAAGAAUAAAAGUGAGAUCAUUACUUAUACAUUUAAUAAAAUGCUUCAUGUAAGGAUUGUAAAUCGAAAGUUCGUCCGAAGCCGAAAGGCACGGACUAGAAUAAAUAAUAAUAAUAAUAAAUAAUAAAAUCCUUCGCUUUAACUUAUUUUCUCUAAUUAUUCGAAAAUACGAUCAUAUGCACGAUAGUCCUCUAUAAAGCGAAGGAAUUCGAUCAUUUGUCCAUUCUUAAUUCUCCUUUUUAUUUUAAUCCAUUCUAAGAAGAAAUGGCCGCAAGAUAAUUUAAAUAUAAUAAAGACCAACAAUGCAAGGACUACAUAGUGACGUCAACUGAACAUUUCCAUUUAAAGUUAAGCAGAAAUAUCGUGUCUAUCAUUAAUCUUGGUCAUACUAUAUUCAGUUACGCUUUUCCUUUUUCUUACACAUUCUGCAUUUCGAAAAUGUACAUACGCAGAACGUAUCAUCUUGAUAGAAAGAUGCUGCAUACGCAUGACAUCUCGUUCCUCGACAACCGCUGAUUCUCCUCGUCACAUUGACUUACACUCGUCGGACCGUACAUUUCAAUCCCGCUUCAGAACGUUUUCUCAUGCUAAUUUCGCCGUGGCCCGUUUCCAUCUCGCACGACGCUCACGUACACCGUCUAAAUCAGUUUGUUUGCGGAACGGCGUGCGAAACAUUCUACGCUGAUGCACUGUAUACGUCCGAUCAUUAACAAUAACUUAUUCACCUGUCAGAUAAGUUGUUGCACGUUAACAGCAUAUUUUCUGCAAACGUUAGUUUCCACUCGGUAUCAACUCGCAAGUAAUAAUUUUGAAGCGCCUUAAAAAUUCUUGAUUAAAAAUAAAUCAUAUUAGAAUAUACGUAUAAGAAUAAGUUAUAUUUAGACUUGGGUAGAUGUUUAUGCAAAUUGAUAUUUCUAUAAACAGAACUAAAGACGCAGAGAUUUGUUUCACCUAUUGGAUAUCAUGACGGAUACUGUAUUUUGCUUCUUUCGUAUAUGUGUUUGCAUAUUACGCGCAUUCCGUACAUUUUUACUUUUACGUUUCUUUUAACGUCUCAAUUUAAAUUUAUACGAGGCACCGAGGACAAAAGUGAAUUAAGUCAUAUCUUCUCUCGAUGCAAGUUUACGUUAAUUAACUUAUUGCAAUAAGCUGUAUUAAUCGUGAUAAAGUGGAGGAACUCGUCCUUUUUUCAAAACAAGCCUAGAUAACAUAACGAAAUCGGUCGUUGCAUUGAAUAUUUUAUGCUUCAGUUUUUUUAGACAUAUUUAGUAAAUUGCUCGAUUUGUUGACUAACUGGGAUUCGCCCACUUUUGUUUUCAACGUUUAGCGUGUACGUGUAAUCUACUCUUGCUGCUGAUACUUUCGAAGUAAAUCUAGAAGCUCGAAAGCUUGAGAAAUUAAUUAAAAAACAGAGAUUUUUCAUUUAUAAUAGAAGAUCAGUGUAAUAGAAGAUCAAUGAAUUAGGUUUUGCACUCGAGGUAAUCUAAUCUGUACACAUUUUAGAAAAGAAUCGAUUUCUUUUUAAUUUCUCAAGAUACGCGCACAAAGAGAGGAGAGGUUCUAUCACUUUCGAAUAAUGCGAUUGAUUCCAUUCUAUCAAUGAAGGCAUGCCGAUGUUUGCCAACCAUUUCAACGAGCUUCAUUGUCUUUCUUCAAUUUUAUUAUUAGGUUUCAUAGCACGCGCAAACGCAUAACAUAUGCGAAAUGAAAAUAGAUUCAUUGCGCUUCUGUUACCAUGGCCUUCGCUGCAUAUUUGCUUACAAGGUGCGUCUUAAAAGCAUUGUAAACACCGCGUACUCUAUCUACCAGUUGAUUGCGUAUCUCGUUUGGCGCGGAAAGAAUCGAACUCGCCGCAGUGCCACUUGCUUUAUCCAUAGGCCGCUUACUAGAACCAAAUCUAAACCGUUGUUGACUUAUCGCAGUUGCGUGAACACUACAGUAAUUGAAGAAUACUCGUUAAAACAGAUAAUUUUCGAUUAUUUGGAACAUUUAAAAACAAUGUAAAAAUAAGUUUGUUCUUCUUUAAAUACUAUCCCGAAGAAAAUACAUGACGAUGAUUCAAAUGGUUAUUCAUACGCAAGACGAAAAUCAAAAAUAACAAAAGUGCGGAGGCUUCGUGUUUGAGAAGAGAAAAUCGAGUUUGAAAACUUACGAGGUACAGGGUACGUGAAUUUGACCAAUUGUCGGCUAGACAAGAAUGGACAACUGAUAGGAAGUUAUUCUACACAAAUAAAUUAAAAAUGAAGAAUAAAAUUUUGUUGUUUACACUCUCGUUUUGGGGAAAAUGAAAUUUAGAUAUGUUAGCCAAGAAUUAGUCCAAGUAGACGUAGAUUUUAUCGAAAAAUGAGACUUCAGAUGAAAAGAUUUUAUUCUACAUUUUUUAUACAUAUUUCCAUAUGUAAUAUAAUUCAUUGAUUACAGAUCAUCGACUAUCUACUCCUGUCCGAGAAUCAAACGAAUUUACGCAUACCUCACAAAUUUUCAAACUCGAUUUUCUCAAAAAACGAAGCCCCAAACGCAGUUUUGUAUGUGUUCAAAUUCUAUUAGUCAUCGCAUGUACAAUCAGUCACGAAAAUAUUCUUCAAAUUUAUUGCAGUUACAGGCUAAAACUCGCGAAGAACUGCAAACUUAUAGCGACGUUAAUUGAUUUCGAUGAAACUUUCAGUAUGUAUAUAACUGAUAUAAAUGCCCAAAAUGUGUUGCUUAAAUUUUUCCAAUAUUUCUUUUACACAUUAUCUGAUACUAAUCCUUCUGGUUUCUCAAGAAAGCUCAAGUCGUUUGAUCCAAUUUUUGAACAGUUAUUCUACUUUAAAGAGUGUACAGAUAUUUUCGUGACUGACUACAGUCAACGCUUACGAUAAGAAAGAAAAAUUAUAAGCCAUAGAAAAACCCGGUGAACUAUUACGCGAACGGUCCAGCUAAUUUUUAUUAUCAACUUAAUCCUACGAUGUAUAUCUACCGAUAAAUGAAGUUAAGUUAAAAAAAAAAACAGAGAAACUCA